rnacentral:rRNA from 1 species
CAAUAGCGUAUAUUAAAGUUGUUGCGGUUAAAAAGCUCGUAGUUGGAUUUCUGCCGAGGACGACCGGUCCGCCCUCUGGGUGUGUAUCUGGUUUGGCCUGGGCAUCUUCUUGGAGAACGUAGCUGCACUUGACUGUGUGGUGCGGUGUCCAGGACUUUUACUUUGAGGAAAUUAGAGUGUUUCAAGCAGGCACACGCCUUGAAUACAUUAGCAUGGAAUAAUAAGAUAGGACCUCGGUUCUAUUUUGUUGGUUUCUAGAGCUGAGGUAAUGAUUAAUAGGGAUAGUUGGGGGCAUUCGUAUUUAACUGUUAGAGGUGAAAUUCUUGGAUUUGUUAAAGACGGACUACUGCGAAAGCAUUUGCCAAGGAUGUUUUCAUUGA